CAAUGGAGGAAACUCUGAUGCAGCGAUGCCGCGUGAGUGAAGAAGGCCUUUGGGUUGUAAAGCUCUUUCGUCGGGGAAGAAAAUGACUGUACCCGAAUAAGAAGGUCCGGCUAACUUCGUGCCAGCAGCCGCGGUAAUACGAAGGGACCUAGCGUAGUUCGGAAUUACUGGGCUUAAAGAGUUCGUAGGUGGUUGAAAAAGUUGGUGGUGAAAUCCCAGAGCUUAACUCUGGAACUGCCAUCAAAACUUUUCAGCUAGAGUUUGAUAGAGGAAAGCAGAAUUUCUAGUGUAGAGGUGAAAUUCGUAGAUAUUAGAAAGAAUACCAAUUGCGAAGGCAGCUUUCUGGAUCAUUACUGACACUGAGGAACGAAAGCAUGGGUAGCGAAGAGGAUUAGAUACCCUCGUAGUCCAUGCCGUAAACGAUGUGUGUUAGACGUUGGAAAUUUAUUUUCAGUGUCGCAGCGAAAGCGAUAAACACACCGCCUGGGGAGUACGACCGCAAGGUUAAAACUCAAAUGAAUUGACGGGGACCCGCACAAGUAGUGGAGCAUGUGGUUUAAUUCGAAGAUACGCGCAGAACCUUACCAACACUUGACAUGUUCGUCGCGACUUUAAGAGAUUAAAGUUUUCGGUUCGGCCGGACGAAACACAGGUGCUGCAUGGCUGUCGUCAGCUCGUGUCGUGAGAUGUUGGGUUAAGUCCCGCAACGAGCGCCACCCUCACUUUUAGUUGCCAUCAUUUAGUUGGGC
rnacentral:rRNA from 1 species